rnacentral:rRNA from 1 species
AUUAAACGCUGGCGGCAUGCCUUACACAUGCAAGUCGAACGGUAGCGCGGGGCAACCUGGCGACGAGUGGCGAACGGGUGAGUAAAGCAUCGGAACGUGCCCUGGAAUGGGGGAUAACGUAGCGAAAGUUACGCUAAUACCGCAUAUUCUGUGAGCAGGAAAGCAGGGGAUCGCAAGACCUUGCGCUGAUUGAGCGGCCGAUAUCAGAUUAGCUAGUUGGUGAGGUAAAGGCUCACCAAGGCGACGAUCUGUAGCGGGUCUGAGAGGAUGAUCCGCCACACUGGUACUGAGACACGGUCCAGACUCCUACGGGAGGCAGCAGUGGGGAAUUUUGGACAAUGGGGGCAACCCUGAUCCAGCCAUGCCGCGUGAGUGAAGAAGGCCU